CAGUUCCACCGCUUAUUAUCUGAGUGUCUGUCAGCAAAUUAUUUUAACCUCACAGUGCCUCGGUGCCCUCAUUGACAAAGCCCAGCUAAUGAGAGGAUGUCCGUGACGUGUCUGUGCAGAGCAACUGGCGUAAAAUGAGAUUUUCUGUCCCCUGGGAAAAUGAAUUGCCCCGCAGAGGAAGCUGCUUCUUCCCAUUGAGGUCUGUGGGGCCGGGGGCUUUUUCCACAGAGUAGCCAUGUCGAGCGAGUCAGGCUUUGGGCCACAGAAGCAGAAAGACGGGAUUAGAGUCUGGUUCUGCACUUACAGCUCGUUGGUGUUAGACCACCACUGUGCACUGGCUUCCUCAGAAAACUGGACCCACCACCAUGAAGUCAAGUUACUGCAGAAGUUUCUGGAAACUUUCUUUUCCGUGGAGAAAUAAAUGAAGUGACAGUUACUUUUGGACUAAGGACUCUUAGUGCCCUCAAGCAAUUGAGCACAUAUAUAGGACUAGAAAGGUGUUAGGGCUGAGGUGGUGAGGGAACUCCCUUCAUCAUGGGACUCCAGAAUUGCCCACAUGGCCCACAGGGGAGAGGAUAUUGCCCCUGCCCUAUCCUGCCAGUGUUCAGGUUAGGGAUGUACAGGGGCAAGAAAGGAGUGAUGUUUUCCUAACUCCCCUUUGCAGAGACAGCUCUCCAAAUAAAACUUCUCUCGCUAUCGAUGGGCAUUCAACUAGAAUUUUAUGCACCAUUGACGAGGAAGGUGGUACUUCUGUUGUUUUAAAAACCCGGGCUUGCCUGUGUCUGCUGGCUGUUGUACUGGUGAGUACACAAAAACAGCAGGCUCAAAACACUCAGUGAGAUGCAAGAUGAGGAGCAUGUAUUUCAAGCACAUUUUUCCUCAGGGCAUUGCUGUUCACUAACAAAUCACAUGAUGCAUUUGAUAUCGUCUUUUUUGACAGCAUUUAUUGUCAACACAGGUAACUUCAUGUUUAACUUCAAUAUUAAAGAAUUUGAGCUGCU